rnacentral:rRNA from 1 species
UACAGAGGGUGCGAGCGUUAAUCGGAAUUACUGGGCGUAAAGCGUGCGCGGGCGGUUUUGUAAGCCAGAUGUGAAAUCCCCGGGCUUAACCUGGGAAUGGCAUUUGGGACUGCAAGGCUUGAGUGCGGCAGAGGAGACUGGAAUUCCUGGUGUAGCAGUGAAAUGCGUAGAUAUCAGGAGGAACACCGAUGGCGAAGGCAGGUCUCUGGGCUGACACUGACGCUCAUGCACGAAAGCGUGGGGAGCAAACAGG